AUGAAGGUAACAAUCUUGUUAGCAGUUCUAGUGGCAGUCUUUGUCGCAGGUAAAAUAUGAUACUAGUUUCAGUAACCAUUGAGAUAUUUUCCUUAGGUAACGACUAUUUAACUUCAAGGGGGUGAGGGUUAUGUUUUUUUUUCAUUAAAAAAAAAUACUGAUCCCCCAAUUUGAUGAAGAAAAAUAUUCUUAUCAAGCAGAUAACCAAAAAAAUAUUCUGAAUUACAGAUUUCCCCCAUAACUUAUAGAUUUGAAGAAGAAAAAUUUGAUAUCGUCGAAAAACUAAAUAAAUUUCUGACUCAAAAAAACCAUACCCCCUUUUGAAGUUAAAUGGUUGCACUCUUAACAUUUAUUACAAAUAAAAUAAUUUGUUUAGAAAAUAGUCUCUCUAAAUCUUCUUUUAUCCGUUCCGAAUACACUUGUAAAUUGGUUUUUUUUAAUUAUCAAGUGGUUUGCUUGUUAAAAAUGUUCUCGAAGUCAUGUUUUCUGUCCUACCUCUGUGAUUUGCUAUUGCUACAUUAAGAUUAUUCUUGCAGUAUAAAUAUAGAUAUUAAAACAUCUAGCAUUCAAAUAUUUUUGCAUUACACUACAUGAAAUGAAGGGAAAAAAUGUUUUAAAGUGAAAAUUUCCGGUAUAUUUGAUAUUUCAACGACUAAUUUUUUAUUUAAUUUACUUCAGCUAAACUCAGUUUUUUCUUUGUAUGUAUUAUGUUUUAAAUAAAGUCUAGAGAAACGGCUUGAUUUGGUGAAAAAAAAUACCAUGUAAUCUUCGAAGAAAAAGAGGCGCGAAAAGAUACCAGAGGGACAGUCAAACUCAUAAUCGAAAAAUAAACUGACAACUUCAUGGCUAAAAAUGAAAAAGACAAACAGAACAAUAAUAGUACACAUGACACAGGAAUUAUUCAAAAUAAACCGAUCUUAUUUUUUAAUUUUUUUAUAUUGAAGGUACGAAGGCUCAUUCGCAUGCUUGCACAUCAUACUGGUGUGGUAAGUUUUGUGGGGCUGGUGGUUGCACACAUUAUCUAUGCCGAGUACUCCAUCCGGUAAAAUGUGCGCCUGUCUUCAUUGCAGAAGGGUGAAAAAUCCUUUCGGAGUUAACCAAGUUGCUAAAAGUAUUAACGAUUUGGAUUACACUCCAAUGUAAAGUAUGUUAUUUCCGAUUAUUUUGCAUUAUAUUAACUUUUAUAAAUUUACAAAAUGAAAUUCAUCAUUAGACCAACAUACGUUAUAUAGAAAAAAUUUAAGCAAGAUUAUUAUACAUUUUUUAUAUACAUACCAAUAAUUAAGCUUAAAAUAUUAGCUUCUUUUUUAACAUGUUUAAGUGACGAUUGGUUAAAUUGUGUAUGCCAGUAUUUUGCACAACUUUUUGGAAUUUUGGUCCUCAAUGCUCUUCAACUUUGUACUUGUUUGGCUUUAUAACUAUUUUGAUCUGAGCGUCACUGAUGAGUCUUAUAAUGUAGACGAAACGCGCGUCUUGCAUAUUAAUUAUUAAAUCCUGGUACCAUUGAUAACUAUUAUAUGCAUGUUAAGGAAAUAUGAGUAAUUAGACCAUACGCGUAUUGUCAUAACCAUAUGGGUAUAUACUUACGAUAGUUAAUGAGAUACAUAUUUUGAAUUCAAAUACGGCAGAAACAGCACGACGGUUUGAACUCAGAAGGUUUGUGUAGUUUUCUACCUUGAAUAAGAGAGAAUGAGGAUAUGUUGUCUUUCAUUGUGCUACCUUCAUUUAUCGUAAACAGCAACAUUUAAAUUUAUCAAUCAAAAUGUGGUUUGUCAAUUGAACAAAAAUCUUUAGAAAUAAAAACCAUAGUUUUUGAAAAGAUUUCAAUCAAUAGCGAAUAUAUCAUCAUGUUAAUUUUAUGAGAAAACGCUCUUCUCUUUCAGAAUGAAGUCGAUGGAAAAUUUGGACAAUGGAGUGGAUAU
rnacentral:sRNA from 1 species